rnacentral:rRNA from 1 species
GACGAACGCUGGCGGCGUGCUUAACACAUGCAAGUCGAGCGGAAAGGCCCUGCUUUUGUGGGGUGCUCGAGUGGCGAACGGGUGAGUAACACGUGAGUAACCUGCCCUUGACUUUGGGAUAACUUCAGGAAACUGGGGCUAAUACCGGAUAGGAGCUCCUGCUGCAUGGUGGGGGUUGGAAAGUUUCGGCGGUUGGGGAUGGACUCGCGGCUUAUCAGCUUGUUGGUGGGGUAGUGGCUUACCAAGGCUUUGACGGGUAGCCGGCCUGAGAGGGUGACCGGCCACAUAGGGACUGGGAUACGGCCCAGACUCCUACGGGAGGCAGCGGUGGGGAAUAUUGCACAAUGGGCGGAGGCCGGAUGCAGCAACGCCGCGUGCGGGAGGAGGCCUUCGGGUUGUAAACCGCUUUCGCCUGUGACGAAGCGUGAGUGACGGUAAUGGGUAAAGAAGCACCGGCUAACUACGUG